rnacentral:rRNA from 1 species
CAACGCGAAGAACCUUACCAGGUCUUGACAUCCCUGACAACCCGAGAGAUCGGGCGUUCCCCUUCGGGGGACAGGGUGACAGGUGGUGCAUGGUUGUCGUCAGCUCGUGUCGUGAGAUGUUGGGUUAAGUCCCGCAACGAGCGCAACCCUCGACCUUAGUUGCCAGCAUUCAGUUGGGCACUCUAAGGUGACUGCCGGCUAAAAGUCGGAGGAAGGUGGGGAUGACGUCAAAUCAUCAUGCCCCUUAUGACCUGGGCUACACACGUGCUACAAUGGGCGGUACAAAGGGUCGCGAACCCGCGAGGGGGAGCCAAUCCCAAAAAGCCGCUCUCAGUUCGGAUUGCAGGCUGCAACUCGCCUGCAUGAAGCCGGAAUCGCUAGUAAUCGCGGAUCAGCAUGCCGCGGUGAAUACGUUCCCGGGCCUU